rnacentral:lncRNA from 1 species
GGAAAUGGGGUUGUGAGGAAAGCAAGCUAUAGACAUAUGUAUAUAUUUUAAGUUCACAGACUUCUUCGCUUGAAGAGAAUUCCCGCACACCAAAUGCCCAGGGGGAACUUGGAAACGCCGCUCCAACAGAAAUUUUACCACCGUAUGCAAGAGCUCAGGGAACGUAAAGGCUAACACGCUUCCCGGGCUGGGGCUGGGGGUGGGGGUGGUCUGCGGUUCAGAUGUGACGGGGUCUCGUUCCCACAUUUGGACCGGGACCCUGGCCCGGCUUGGCCAACGGGUGCGAAUCCGCGACAGCCCGUCGGUUCCAGAAUGUGUGGCCGCUGGGACGCAGGCUCCGCGAGCGAGCGCAGAAUUCAGGCAGAAAGUCUCGACCGGAGAAACCAACUCUUUCAGGAAACACGGGGCAAGAAGAGGCAAAGGCGAAACCUCCAUAAACUUGGGGCCAACGCAGAGCCAAGCCCCUCACGCCUUGGCCUGACCUGUCUCUCCCGCUCUCGGUGGCCUCUGCACAAAGAAUACUUUCGCUACCAACAAUCGCCGCACCAAACCAUCUACUUGGAACUUUGGGGACCCAAGGCGCCCACCGGGAAAGAGCAGACAAGUGCAAGGGGACCUGGCUCGAAGCCGGGAACGACCCGCGGGGCAGGGGCUCGGAGCCGCCUGCCUUCGCCCAAAGUCCAACAUCCCGAACGGCCCCGCCCCGCGCAGGUCACCAAGGUCCCGCGGCCGCGCACCCCCGCUUCGGAGGGCAGCCGCCCGGCUCCUCAGCUCGAGCUCUCCAGCAAAUGCCGGCGGGCCCUGGCCGCUAGGCCCUCUCGGCUCCGGAACCGCAGGCCUGGGGUGCGGGAGGGAGGGCUCUGCAGCCCGCGCGGCGACCGCCGGGCCGCCGCACCCUGCGCGGCUCGCAGAACAGCCGCGUCCGAAGCGGAGCCGAGAGACAAGAAGUGA